rnacentral:rRNA from 1 species
AACGAACGCUGGCGGCAUGCCUAACACAUGCAAGUCGAACGAGACCUUCGGGUCUAGUGGCGCACGGGUGCGUAACGCGUUGGAACCUGCCCUUAGGUUCGGAAUAACUCCCCGAAAGGGGUGCUAAUACCGGAUAAUGUCUUCGGACCAAAGAUUUAUCGCCUUUGGAUGGGCCCGCGUUGGAUUAGCUAGUUGGUAGGGUAAAAGCCUACCAAGGCGACGAUCCAUAGCUGGUCUGAGAGGAUGAUCAGCCACACUGGGACUGAGACACGGCCCAGACUACUACGGGAGGCAGCAGUGGGGAAUAUUGGACAAUGGGCGAAAGCCUGAUCCAGCAAUGCCGCGUGAGUGAUGAAGGCCUUAGGGUUGUAAAGCUCUUUUACACGGGAAGAUAAUGACAGUACCGGGAGAAUAAGCGCCGGCUAACUCCGUG